CAGCCGCCACGGUAACACGUAGGGUGCGAGCGUUAAUCGGAAUUACUGGGCGUAAAGCGUGCGCAGGCGGUUCGUUAAGACAGAUGUGAAAUCCCCGGGCUUAACCUGGGAACUGCAUUUGUGACUGGCGAGCUAGAGUAUGGCAGAGGGGGGUAGAAUUCCACGUGUAGCAGUGAAAUGCGUAGAGAUGUGGAGGAAUACCGAUGGCGAAGGCAGCCCCCUGGGCCAAUACUGACGCUCAUGCACGAAAGCUAGGGGAGCAAACAGGAUUAGAUACCCCAGUAGUCCCUGUCUCUUAUAC
rnacentral:rRNA from 1 species